CCUACGGGUGGCAGCAGUGAGGAAUAUUGGUCAAUGGGCGCGAGCCUGAACCAGCCAAGUCGCGUGAGGGAAGACGGUCCUAUGGAUUGUAAACCUCUUUUGUCAGGGAGCAAAAGACGCCACGCGUGGCGUUCCGAGAGUACCCGAAGAAAAAGCAUCGGCUAACUCCGUGCCAGCAGCCGCGGUAAUACGGAGGAUGCGAGCGUAAUCAGGAUGUAUUGGGUUAAAAGGGUGCGCAGGCGGAAGAUCAAGUCAGCGGUAAAAUUGAGGGGUUCAACCUCUCCGAGCCGUUGAAACUGGUUUUCUUGAGUGAGCGAGAGGUAUGCGGAAUGCGUGGUGUAGCGGUGAAAUGCAUAGAUAUCACGCAGAACUCCGAUUGCGAAGGCAGCAUACCGGCGCUCAACUGACGCUCAUGCACGAAAGUGUGGGUAUCGAACAGGAUUAGAUACCCUUGUAGUC
rnacentral:rRNA from 1 species